AAAAAUAUGGUUAAUUCUUCCAGUUUAUAUAAUAAUAGUAGAACGAAUGUUUUCAGUAAUAAAACUCAUGAAGAAUCAUCUUUGGCAUCGGAUGGGAUAAGUGAUAGUUUGGCUGUUUAUACAGGAAAUAAUAAAUUUAAUAAUAUUGAUAAUGAGUCUAUUGCAUAACAUUUUUAAAAUAUAAAAAUACAUAGAGACUAAUUAUAAAGGUAUUAGCAAAUAUUUUAGAUAUUCAAAAUUUUAGUUUAUAUAUUUUACUAUUAUCUAAUUUAACCCCCGGUAAAUUAUUUUUGUAGAUUCGUCAUUGACACAUCAGGCAUACGUGGAAACAAUUUAAAACACAAAUAAUGUAUCUAAAAGCAUUAAGUUAUAAGCUAAAUGUUGUAAUUGGCUAACAAAUAUAUGUCCUUUCAUAACUAAAAUUGUAAUUAGAAAAUGUAUUUACCGGACGUUGUGAAUUUUAAAUCGUACUACGGGCAACUUGCAUGAAACUGCCUCCCAAAUCGUAUCUACCGCAUUACUAGGCUGAGAUGGAUACUGAUAUUCAAAGUGUUGAACAACUUCCUAGCUACAAAUCUCACCUUCUCUGACUUUAACAAAUAAACGUAACCGGCCCUCCAAUCUAUUUACCAACGCCAUACUCUUUCAAAGGAACUUAACCUUUUUAUUUUUUUUUCAAGAAUUACCUACUGCAUUACUUUUGAACGGCACAACAACAGAGCAAACAGACGCGAUAUUCACUCUGGUUUCACCCUAUCUCAGUCUGGGUUGUAGUUGCCCGCUACAAUACCAAUCUUGCAAUCGGAUUCAUAUCCAUGCCAGCCAUGUUCUUUAUUCGAACCAUUGAUAUCUUUUCCCCCCCCAAGAAAUUAUGAUUGUUUUCUUCCGAUUUCGCUAUCUCCAAAUUGAUUCUCAAACGAAAUCAGUUACACCUGAUGCAGUAACAAAAUCGCCAUUGAAUUCAUACGGCUUACAGCCCAAUCUGCAACAUACGUGAAUGAACGAAAUCUUUUCCCCCCAAGAAUUUGCAAUCGUUUUUUUUUUUUUUUCUAUUUACGUGUCUCCAGAUUAAUUCUCAAUUGCGAUACGUUAAACCCCAAUUUUUUUUUUCAUCAAUAAAACGGAAUACGUUCUAAUUGCGAUGCAUUUUGUGAACUUGACUCUCCCCAUCACAUGAAUACAUAACCGGUUUCAACGGUUGCCGGUCAACUCCUCAUUUAAAAUUUAUGUAACUCCAAGUGUUAGAUUGAGUCACUUUUAAUCCAACGGUAUUUUCGAAUGACGAAAAAUAGUAUUGCACGUUGCAGCAGUUGCAACGUAGUGAGUCCUUGUUUAUAAAAGAAAAUUAACGAUUUGGUUGUCAAGCUUGUAAUGAUUAUUGAGUGUUAUCAUCAUCUUAUUGAAUUUUAGUUAAUGUUUCAAUGACUAAAUUCAAACAUUGAAAUUCGGAUUUUAUUAAAAGAGUUGGCCUUUUGACAACCCUAAAAAUUUCACCAUAAAACUCUUUUUUAAUUGAAAUUAUCAAAAUAAUCUAAAUUAAGUUAUUUCAGUUCUUUUUUAAUGAAAAUUUAAUUAAACGCUUAAAUAAAAAUUUUCUUUUUAGAAAGUUUUUUACAUCCAUCCCAAUUC
rnacentral:lncRNA from 1 species